rnacentral:rRNA from 1 species
GCGAAGGCGCCACACUAGAACGGAUCCGACGGUCAGGGACGAAGCCUAGGGGCACGAACCGGAUUAGAUACCCGGGUAGUCCUAGGUGUAAACGCUGUGGACUUGAUGUUGGGGGUGCUCCGAGCACUCUCAGUGUCGAAGCGAAGGUGAUAAGUCCACUGCCUGGGAAGUACGGUCGCAAGGCUGAAACUUAAAGGAAUUGGCGGGGGAGCACCGCAACCUGAGGAUUGUGCGGUUUAAUUGGAUUCAACGCCGGAAAACUCACCAUGGCCGACGGACAUAUGAAAGCCAGUGUAAUGAGCUUGCUGGAUUGUUCGAGAGGUAUUGCAUGGCCGCCGUCAGUUCGUACCGUAAGGCGUUCUGUUAAGUCAGAUAACGAACGAGACCCUCAUCCCUAUUUGCCAAGGUCUGUCCGCAGAUCACGGGACUAUAGGGAGACCGCUGGCGCGAAGUCAGAGGAAGGCGAGGGCAACGGUAGGUCAGUAUGAUCCGAAUGCCAUGGGCUACACGCGCAAUACAAAGGACGGGACAAUGGGCUGCUACUCCGAGAGGAAGAAGCUAUCCCGAAACCCGUUCGUAGUUCGGAUUGGGGGCUGUAACCCGCCCCCAUGAAGCUGGAUUAGGUAGUAAUCGCGUCUCAAUAAGGCGCGGUGAAUAUGCCCCUGCUCCUUGCACACACCGCCCGUCAAACCAUCUUAGUUGUGGGUGGGUGAGGCUACCUUGAUAAUGGGGUAUUCGAGCCUGCCUUCGACAAGGAGGGUUAAGUCGUAACAAGGUAUCUGUAGGGGAACCUGCAGAUGGAUCACCUCCUA